UCUGUAGGUUUGUUGGGUCACACCAUCUGUGGCAAUGGCUUUCACCAGCUGCAGGACUGGGUUUUCACUGUCUUUCAGAACAGCAUUUUGAAAUGUUGAGCUGUCACAGAAGGCACAACAUAAGCACUGAAAAAAUGCAUCAAAUGCACAGUUUCAUCCGCAUGGAGCCAUUCGGUACAUGAAGAGAGGUAGGAAGUCCUCUUCCUUUUUUUGGGUGGAACAGCUAGGCCCCUCCAGUUCUCAACUGCAUCCCCAUCAGCCGGAAGAAUGUUUGUGGCAGCAUCAGAUCCCACAAACGGAACAAAUCCACAUAUUUCCCUCGAUGAAGGAAAGAUGACGAGC